rnacentral:rRNA from 1 species
AGGAUGAACGCUGGCGGCGUGCCUAAUACAUGCAAGUCGAGCGGUAAGGCCCCUUCGGGGGUACACGAGCGGCGGACGGCUGAGUAACACGUAGGAACGUACCCCAAAGUGAGGGAUAAGCACCAGAAAUGGUGUCUAAUACCGCAUGUGCUCUUCGGAGGAAAGCUUCGGCGCUUUGGGAACGGCCUGCGCAUGAUUAGCUUGUUGGUGAGGUAAUGGCUCACCAAGGCGACGAUCAUUAGCUGGUCUGAGAGGAUGAUCAGCCAGACUGGGACUGAGAACGGCCCAGACUCCUACGGGAGGCAGCAGUAGGGAAUUUUCCACAAUGGGCGAAAGCCUGAUGGAGCAACGCCGCGUGCAGGAUGAAUGCCUUCGGGUUGUAAACUGCUUUCAGCAGGGACGAUUGUGACGGUACCUGCAGAAGAAGCACCGGCCAACUACGCGCCAGCAGCCGC